UUUUAAUAACUUAUUUGUAACGAUGCUGCCAGCAUCUGCAAAACCAAACAAAGAGUGGUCGGUAAAACAAGUUUUCAAGCCCAUUGUACGAGCAUGCAGAAUAGCAUCAUGGCAUAGAAAGGAUAAACUGCCAUGACCGUGGACUAUUUCGAUAUUUUCUCUAAUGACUAUAUUGCGGAAAAUUGGAAAAAAGGAAAAAAAGGAAGGAAAUGUUGUUUCACGAUACACAGUCUGCAUUGUUUAGUUUCAACGCUAUGCGCGAUCAAAAUUUCAAUUAAAAACUUACAUGUAACGGCACGUAGUAAACGGUUAGCCCAUUAGUUAAGUAUCUGACGCCAACUCGAUCCUUAUAAGCAUGUGUGAUAACUAAUAUAAUGCAUGUUAGAGCAUGUACAAGUUGACAUUAUCAUAAGGCUAAACGCAUACCAAUUACUUUAUGCCCUAAAUCAAUCAAUCUUUGAGAAAGCUGAAAAAUAUGGCUUUCAAUCCCCCCAGGUUGAGGAAAGAAGAAGUCUGAUACCAUUCUAAGCAUACAAAGUUAGCAAUCUAUUGAACGUUGGGAUUUCAAUCUAAGAGAAAAGGUGAUUUAUAGAAGCUUAUUGAAGCCAGUAUAUUAUCAUAAGAAUGUUAAAAAAUAAAAAAUGCUAUAGGCUUCAUUUUGUACUAAGAAAAUCUCCUUAACAAACAAUAUUGAUUGUGAAAGUUGCAUUUCAAAACAUACGCGACCCUGUAUCCCAUUUUAGAUGAAUUUUAAACUUUUUUAUUCAUUCAAAGAAAUUUUUGGUUUUUUUUAAUCUACUUUGGGAGUUGUUUACUCUUCAAUGGCAUAUUAUUAGAAAUUUGGGUGAGUGUAAGAACAACAAAAUUAGUCCCAAAUGAAAUCAGCCUUUCACAGUCAA